rnacentral:tRNA from 1 species
GGUGAGGGUGGAUGAGUGGCUGAAAUCACUUCCCUGCUAAGGAAGCAUACCUAUUACUGGUAUCGAGGGUUCGAAUCCCUCUCUCACCGCCA